UCAGAGAGUAGUUAAAUUUAGAAUUUUGGUUUUGGGGACCAAGGGUGAGAGUUAAAAUCUCUUUUCUCUG
rnacentral:tRNA from 1 species